GUCCUGGCUGUAAACGGUGCACGUUUGCUGUAAAGGAAUCGACCCCUUUGUGGCGAAGCUAACGCGCUAAACGUGCCGCCUGGGAAGUACGGUCGCAAGAUUAAAACUCAAAGAAUUGACGGGCCUGCACAAGCGGUGGAGUAUGUGGCUUAAUUCGAUGCAACGCGAAGAACCUUACCUGGCCUUGACAUGCACGUGGUAGAACCAUGAAAGUGGGACGACCCCGCAAGGGGAGCGUGCACAGGUGCUGCAUGGCUGUCGU
rnacentral:rRNA from 1 species